CAACAGGGAUUGCCUCAGUAACGGCGAGUGAAGCGGCAACAGCUCAAAUUUGAAAUCUGGCCCUAGGUCCGAGUUGUAAUUUGCAGAGGAUGCUUCCGGCGCGGCGCCGUCCAAGUCCCCUGGAACGGGGCGCCUUAGAGGGUGAGAGCCCCGUCGGGUCGGCCGCCAAGCCUGUGUGAAGCUCCUUCGACGAGUCGAGUAGUUUGGGAAUGCUGCUCUAAAUGGGAGGUAGACCCCUUCUAAAGCUAAAUACCGGCCAGAGACCGAUAGCGCACAAGUAGAGUGAUCGAAAGAUGAAAAGCACUUUGAAAAGAGGGUUAAACAGUACGUGAAAUUGUUGAAAGGGAAGCGCUUGUGACCAGACGCGCGCCGGGGUGCUCAGCGGGCGUUCUCGCCCGUGCACUCGCCCCGGCGCGGGCCAGCGUCGGUUCGGGCGGGGGGACAAAGACGCCGGGAACGUAGCUCCUCCGGGAGUGUUAUAGCCCGGCGUGCCAUGCCCCCGCCCGGACCGAGGUUCGCGCUCCGCAAGGACGCUGGCGUAAUGGUCCCCAGCGGCCCGUCUUGAAACACGGACCAAGGAGUCGAGGUUUUGCGCGAGUGUCUGGGUGUCAAACCCGCACGCGUAAUGAAAGUGAACGCAGGUGGGAGCUUCGGCGCACCACCGACCGAUCCUGAUGUUCUCGGAUGGAUUUGAGUAGGAGCGUAGGGCCUCGGACCCGAAAGAUGGUGAACUAUACGUGGAUAGGGUGAAGCCAGAGGAAACUCUGGUGGAGGCUCGCAGCGGUUCUGACGUGCAAAUCGAUCGUCAAAUCUGCGUAUGGGGGCGAAAGACUAAUC
rnacentral:rRNA from 1 species